GACGAACGCUGGCGGCGUGCUUAACACAUGCAAGUCGAACGGAAAGGCCCCUUUGGGGGUCCUCGAGUGGCGAACGGGAGAGUAACACGUGAGUAACCUGCCAUUGCCUUCGGGAUAACUUCAGGAAACUGGGGCUAAUACCGGAUAGGACUCCUUGCUGCAUGGAGGGGGUUGGAAAGCUUCGGCGGUUUUGGAUGGACUCGCGGCUUAUCAGCUUGUUGGUGGGGGAGUGGCUUACCAAGGCUUUGACGGGUAGCCGGCCUGAGAGGGCGACCGGCCACAGUGGGACUGAGAUACGGCCCAGACGCCUACGGGAGGCAGCAGUGGGGAAGAGUGCACAAGGGGCGGAAGCCGGAUGCAGCAACGCCGCGGGCGGGAGGACGGCCUUGGGGUUGGAAACCGCUUUCAGCAGGGGCGAAGCUUGUGGUGACGGUACCUGCAGAAGAAGCACCGGCUAACUACGUG
rnacentral:rRNA from 1 species